rnacentral:lncRNA from 1 species
CAGCAACUAGGCCAACAGUCUUCAUGGAGAAUGUUCAGUCAAGUGUGGCCUUGGCUGAAGGUCCUCCCCCUUGCAGGACCCCUAUUAGUCCUCUUUAUGUUUCUCCUAAUAGGACCAUGUCUGUUAAAUUGCCUAGAGAAGUUCCUGCAAGAUCAGAUACACAAAUUCACCAACCAGCCAGUCAAUCAACUACUUCUUCAAGACUACCAGACCCCUUAUGCUCAAGACGGAGACCUACGACUCAUAACCAACUGUUCUGGCUCCAGAGACUCUGCCCCCACCUAAAACCCUCCCUGAUCCUUUACAGGAAUGAGAUACUUCACCCCUAACCAGCAGAAAGUAGCCAGAUGUAAUUCAGAUCCCUAUAUCAUCAAAAAAAAAAAAAAAAAAGCCAGGAUAUUAGGUCAGUUUGAGGUAGCUAAGGGAACAAAGCACCAGGCAACCCACACGUGCAAAAGAACAACCAAUCAGGUGCUGACAGACAAGUAGUGAACUACCUGUCAAUCAGUGGGGUCUCCUGACCAAUCCUAGAAUGACACGGAUCUCAUCAAGAUCCCCUGACCAACCCCAGAAGGACAAGGGACUCUAAAAACCUCCCUUUCCUGUCCUAAACCCAAUAAAAUUCCAAUCCAUCUGAGCCUGUGCUUGACUCCCCUGAACCGGCUCUGUUGAACUGGAGGGUCUCGUCCAGGAGUGAGUCUCAAUAAAGCCUUGUUCAGCAGCCUUUUAAUCUGCCUCCUUUUGGUCAUCGGUGCCUGACCUUACCCAGAUGGUACAUCUAUAUCAGUAUUUAGCUAUUUACACUGGUCUCAACUCAUGAACUCAACUGAUCCUUCCCCCUCAGCCUCCUGAGUAGUAGAGAAUAUAGGUGUUCGCCUCCAUACCUU